GCCCGUGCUGUUGCUGCCCAACCACCAUUUGCAAGCAAGUGGGGAACUGCUGAAGUGAAAGCUUACAAACACCCUACAGGCAAAAUUUCAUUCAAAACUGGGACAGGAGCUGCUCAGCACACCUGGACAUACCUGCUGUCUGUAUUGCACUCUUCAGUUCAGAUACAUCAAGAAAUCCAGAACGAUUUCUGUCUUCUCUCUUGAAGAGAUCCUGAAAAACAGCAGAAAAGCAGCUUUUAGACCUUCAUCACUGCUCUUCAAAUGUAUUGCUACAUCUAAUUAGAAAGCCCCUGAUUGCUCGCUUACAGCAUUUCACACACUCCUGCUUCCUGCCCUCAGCCUUUGCAUGAGAGGAUGGAAAUCUGACCUACUAAAGAUGCAAUCUUGGC